AUGCUGACCACGCCUGCUCCCAUCAUCCCCUCACGGGCCGCCACGCCUCGCCGCCGUGGCCAGGGGACCGACGACCACCCACGCCAGCUGCACCGGCGCCGCGACGACGGCGACGACUUCGACGAUGACUGCCAUGGGGGCGGCGGAAGAGAUGGGCGCGGGCGCGAUGGCCAUGCUAGGGAGGCCCGCAUGGAGGUGCACAGAGAGCGCACCCGUUCCCCACGUCGUCGGGACGGGGCGGACGGACGACACGGACGACGCCGGGCGGGGUCUACUGCCGUUGCGGCACCGGUCUCUUUGGCGCCGGGGUUGGGCUCGGGUGCCUUCUGUCAGCUUCGCCCGGCGGCCUCCGACGGCGGGCUGCAGUUUGGAGGACAAGCUCGGGCGCUCCGGGACGAGAUGGCUUUGGCGCUCGAGGCGGCACUCGCUCCGCUGCGUUCUGAAUUCUCUGCCAUGCGUCGUACGCUUGUCGGGCUCGUCGACAAGGCGGAGGUGCUCUUCUCCAAGUUGUGCUCGUCGGCACCCGCCGUCAGCCCACCCCCGCAGGCGGUGCAUGGAGGCGUUCAGGCAGACAGGGAUGGCGUUCAGGCAGACAGGGAUGCGGUUCUCCCCCUCGUUGUCGGCCUGGCGGGGCUGGCGCUCGACUCGGCUCGGCUCGGCUCGGGCGAGGCCACGAAUGAAGCAUGGUCCGUCCCGGCCACGGACAUGCCUCAGCAUGCCCAUCCCAUCACCGGGCUGGUUCCCACGACUGCCGCACUUCCUACUGCUUUUGUUGCGCCGCUGCCGUCCCCUACGGUGGACUCCCUGAGCUCGACCGCCUCGCCUCUGCCCGUGCCUGUUGCUGGCCUGGAGGUGCAUGGACCUGUUCUGCUACCUGAUGCUGGCCUGGAGCCCGCGGCUGCUGUCGUGCUACCUGAAGAUGGCCUGGAGCCCGUGCAUGGAGUUGGCCUAGGGCCCGUGCAUGUAAACGUGUUUGUUGAUGGCCUGGAGCCCGUGCAUGGAGGUGGCCUAGGGCCCGUGCAUGUAAGUGUGUUGCCAUGUGCUGACUUGGCGCAUGAAAACGUGCUGCCACCUGAUGACUUGGCGGUUGGGUUGCUCCCUGUUGGGCCUGUGGUGGCUCGCCCGGUUACCUUCAAUGGGUCGUCUGCUGCUAUUGUUCUGCUGCCCGGCGACGCGCACGCUGAGUUGCUCGCCGAUGAUCCCGCUGCGCUGGCCGUCGUGGCAGCGCCUGAAGACGGACCGCUUCCUCCAGCUACUCUGGACACGUUCCUCGACUCCAUCGCCAACUGCGCCGACGCUUCGCUGCUGCCCACUCCAGCUCCACGCAAGGCCAAGGCUGCUGUAGCGGUUACUCGUUGCAGCGCCCGCCUUGACAAGAAGAAGGCUCUGCUCCCGCCGGGCGCCGGCUCGGACGCGGUCCAAGAGAUCAUUGCUAGGGUCUGCGGUGUCCUUGAUCCAUCCGUCGGCUAUGACGACAAGGCCAAGCAAGCGUACCUAGACAUGUUCGCCACUCCGCUAGCCGCUCCCGUGGUCCAGGCGAUUGCGGGGCUUGUUUCACAUGCCAAGAACCUCACACAAAAGAAGCUGAAGAAGGGCAAGAAAGCAACCGUGGAGACUCAAGUUGCUGAUGUGUAG
rnacentral:rRNA from 1 species